AGUGAACGCUGGCGGUAGGCCUAACACAUGCAAGUCGAACGGCAGCACAGUAAGAGCUUGCUCUUACGGGUGGCGAGUGGCGGACGGGUGAGGAAUACAUCGGAAUCUACUUUUUCGUGGGGGAUAACGUAGGGAAACUUACGCUAAUACCGCAUACGACCUACGGGUGAAAGCAGGGGAUCUUCGGACCUUGCGCGAUUGAAUGAGCCGAUGUCGGAUUAGCUAGUUGGCGGGGUAAAGGCCCACCAAGGCGACGAUCCGUAGCUGGUCUGAGAGGAUGAUCAGCCACACUGGAACUGAGACACGGUCCAGACUCCUACGGGAGGCAGCAGUGGGGAAUAUUGGACAAUGGGCGCAAGCCUGAUCCAGCCAUACCGCGUGGGUGAAGAAGGCCUUCGGGUUGUAAAGCCCUUUUGUUGGGAAAGAAAGGCAGCAGGUUAAUACCCCGCUGUUCUGACGGUACCCAAAGAAUAAGCGCCGGCUAACUUCGUG
rnacentral:rRNA from 1 species